ensembl:lncRNA
GCUUACAUUUAAGGAGCCUGGUCAUAUUUAAUUGUAAUAUGAACCAAUGAUUUUCUGAUUGCUGAUUCUAAGAGAGUCUUUGUGGAAAUUUGGCUUUUUGUCAUUUUAAUUCUCUUUUCUGUUUGCCAGAACAGUUCUCCACAGUCACUGUCCACAUGGGUCAGUGGGACCAAGCAGCACUCUGCUAAUGUGGGACUCUGACCAGCAACAUCCAGCAAGACCCAGGCAGCGUUUUCUAUCUCCCAGCUGGAGUUUUUUUGUUUGUCUGUGACUGGAGAGUCAGAUUUUUGUUGAGGCUGGAGGAACAGCCUCACACUUGCAGAGGUUAAUACACUCUACUGAUCCCUGAUGGGAGAAUCAUCACCUCUGCCAACAAAGAAGCCUGGUGGAUAUUUGUUUGCAGUCUGAUGAUGGGACAUCAUGCUCUGCAUCUUCAAAUCUUUUUGCAGGAUCAGAAAACAAAACCAGGAGGCCUGUAAAUGUUUCUUCUCCAAUUGGAUGAUGAUAAGACUGUGACACGGGAUGCCACCUUUGGUCUUGUGAUGAAGCAAAGCUCAGGAAGCAGUGUGAUUAAAUGGUACCCACAUGUGUGCUGCUGAGAAGGAUGUACAGGGGCACCUGCA